GGGUUACUAACUCAAUGGUAGAGUACUCGGCUUUUAACCGAUAAGCUCUGGGUUCGAGUCCCAGGUAACCCAUCA
rnacentral:tRNA from 1 species